rnacentral:lncRNA from 1 species
GAAUUCUAAACUUCUUCCAGGACAGGGGGAGCCUCUUAACGAUCCUGCAAGAUAUAGGCGGUUAGUUGGUAAACUAAAUUAUCUUACAGUGACAAGACUUGUAUCCUUCUACUUUCUCUCUCUCCAGUAACUCUAUCUUUCUCUCCAAUGUUCAUGUUAGAAGUGUAAAUAUAGUAGAACUCUAAUCCAAAGUGUAUUAGGAGUAGAUUAGGCUAUGGCGACAUG